UGGGGAAUCUUGCGCAAUGGGCGAAAGCCUGACGCAGCCAUGCCGCGUGAAUGAUGAAGGUCUUAGGAUUGUAAAAUUCUUUCAGUAGGGACGAUAAUGACGGUACCUACAGAAGAAGCCCCGGCUAACUUCGUGCCAGCAGCCGCGGUAAUACGAAGGGGGCUAGCGUUGCUCGGAAUUACUGGGCGUAAAGGGAGCGUAGGCGGGUUAUCAAGUUGGGGGUGAAAGCCCGGGGCUCAACCUCGGAAUUGCCUUCAAAACUGGUAGCCUAGAGUAUGAUAGAGGUAUGUGGAACUCCGAGUGUAGAGGUGAAAUUCGUAGAUAUUCGGAAGAACACCAGUGGCGAAGGCGACAUACUGGGUCAUGACUGACGCUGAGGCUCGAAAGCGUGGGGAGCAAACA
rnacentral:rRNA from 1 species